CCAAGGAGUCUAACAUGUGCGCGAGUCAUUGGGACCGCAAAACCUAAAGGCGUAAUGAAAGUAAAGGUCGACCUUGCGUCGACUAAGGGAAGAUGGGUUGCGUUACGAUGCAGCCCCGCACUCCCGGGGCGUCUCGUACUCAUUGCGAGUAGAGGCGCACCCAGAGCGUACACGUUGGGACCCGAAAGAUGGUGAACUAUGCCUGGUCAGGACGAAGUCAGGGGAAACCCUGAUGGAGGUCCGUAGCGAUUCUGACGUGCAAAUCGAUCGUCGGAACUGGGUAUAGGGGCGAAAGACUAAUCGAACCAUCUAGUAGCUGGUUCCCUCCGAAGUUUCCCUCAGGAUAGCUGGCACUCGCGUGAGCGAGUCUCAUCUGGUAAAGCGAAUGAUUAGAGGCCUUGGGGCCGAAACGACCUCAACCUAUUCUCAAACUUUAAAUGGGUGAGAUCUCUGGCUUGCUUAAACAGUGAAGCUACGAGAUUUCGGAUCAGAGUGCCAAGUGGGCCAAUUUU
rnacentral:rRNA from 1 species